GAUGAACGCUAGCGGCGUGCCUAAUACAUGCCAGUCGAGCGAACGGACGAGAAGCUUGCUUCUCUGAUGUUAGCGGCGGACGGGUGAGUAACACGUGGAUAACCUACCUAUAAGACUGGGAUAACUUCGGGAAACCGGAGCUAAUACCGGAUAAUAUUUUGAACCGCAUGGUUCAAAAGUGAAAGACGGUCUUGCUGUCACUUAUAGAUGGAUCCGCGCUGCAUUAGCUAGUUGGUAAGGUAACGGCUUACCAAGGCAACGAUGCAUAGCCGACCUGAGAUGGUGAUCGGCCACACUGGAACUGAGACACGGUCCAGACUCCUACGGGAGGCAGCAGUAGGGAAUCUUCCGCAAUGGGCGAAAGCCUGACGGAGCAACGCCGCGUGAGUGAUGAAGGUCUUCGGAUCGUAAAACUCUGUUAUUAGGGAAGAACAUAUGUGUAAGUAACUGUGCACAUCUUGACGGUACCUAAUCAGAAAGCCACGGCUAACUACGUG
rnacentral:rRNA from 1 species